AGUGAACGCUGGCGGUAGGCCUAACACAUGCAAGUCGAACGGCAGCACAGUAAGAGCUUGCUCUUACGGGUGGCGAGUGGCGGACGGGUGAGGAAUACAUCGGAAUCUACUUUUUCGUGAGGGAUACCGUAGGGAAACUUACGCUAAUACCGCAUACGACCUACGGGUGAAAGCCGGGGAUCUUCGGACCUUGCGCGAUUGAAUGAGCCGAUGUCGGAUUAGCUAGUUGGCGGGGUAAAGGCCCACCAAGGCGACGAUCCGUAGCUGGUCUGAGAGGAUGACCAGCCACACUGGAACUGAGACACGGUCCAGACUCCUACGGGAGGCAGCAGUGGGGAAUAUUGGACAAUGGGCGCAAGCCUGAUCCAGCCAUACCGCGUGGGUGAAGAGGGCCUUCGGGUUGUAAAGCCCUUUUGUUGGGAAAGAAAAGCAGCAGGUUAAUACCCCGCUGUUCUGACGGUACCCAAAGAAUAAGCACCGGCUAACUUCGUG
rnacentral:rRNA from 1 species